UAGUAAGGUCGUCAUAUCGAUGAGCGUUUAGUACAGUGAUUUUGUCAUAGUUUGGAUAAGUUUGACAUGACGGUGUUAAGUCUUUUUGAUGACAAUCAAUGCAGAAAUGUAAACAUUGGGAUAUUUUGUAAAUGGAACUUCUGAUCAUUAAUUCAAGCUGAAGCCAUGCAAUGUUUGACCUACCCCGAAGAUCUACUGCUAAACGUAAAAGUGCAAUCGUGAACCCAUAUGAUGGAUUUGCACAUGGUGCUCAAGGAAUUCGUCAGUUCCAUAGGAAAGAUGAAGAAAAAAUCCAUCCUCAUAAAAGAACAUGUUAUGAUAUCUAAAAAUGUCAUUAUCUUGAAAAUGAGACAAUAUAUCAUUUAAACUUUAUGAAUGCUAGAAAUGAAUCAAAAAUAAACUUUUAAAUGUAUUAAAUACUGAUUAUUUAAUAAAUUAUUUUGUUUUA